CGAAAAGAACCCCGGCGAGGGGAGUGAAAAAGAACCUGAAACCGUGUACGUACAAGCAGUGGGAGCACAGGUUUACCUGUGUGACUGCGUACCUUUUGUAUAAUGGGUCAGCGACUUAUAUUCUGUAGCAAGGUUAACCGUAUAGGGGAGCCGGAGGGAAACCGAGUCUUAAUUGGGCGUUAAGUUGCAGGGUAUAGACCCGAAACCCGGUGAUCUAGCCAUGGGCAGGUUGAAGGUUGGGUAACACUAACUGGAGGACCGAACCGACUAAUGUUGAAAAAUUAGCGGAUGACCUGUGGCUGGGGGUGAAAGGCCAAUCAAACCGGGAGAUAGCUGGUUCUCCCCGAAAGCUAUUUAGGUAGCGCCUCGUGAAUUCAUCUCCGGGGGUAGAGCACUGUUUCGGCUAGGGGGCCAUCCCGGCUUACCAACCCGAUGCA
rnacentral:rRNA from 1 species